AUGGAGGUAACAUUCAACAUGGAGCUCAAGGACUUCAGCAGAUGUAUCCUUGAGAGAAAGGGUAUUGAGACGAAGACUAUAUGGGAGAUGCACCAAGCAAAAAUGAAGGAGAAGCAGAAAGGUAGAAAGAGGUGGCCAAAGGAUGAUGAUGACUAUAGCAGCAAAGAUAGCGCUGAUGAUUUCCUUGAUGAAAAGUUGUUUGAAGAAGCUAAGCCGAUGAAGAAACCAAAGGUGAAGGCCAAAGGGAAAGGAAAGACAAGGCUCCAGAGGAACAUUAUGAGCCAGAAGCAACUAAAGAGCCUGAGGAAGUGA
rnacentral:rRNA from 1 species